rnacentral:rRNA from 1 species
AGAGUUUGAUCCUGGCUCAGGAUGAACGCUGGCGGCGUGCCUAACACAUGCAAGUCGAACGGAGAUUAAACGCUGAUGCGAUUUCGGUCAAAUCUUGUUUAAUCUUAGUGGCGGACGGGUGAGUAACGCGUGGGCAACCUGCCUCAUACUGGGGGAUAGCAGUUGGAAACGACUGAUAAUACCGCAUAAGCGCACGGCAUCGCAUGAUGCAGUGUGAAAAACUCCGGUGGUAUGAGAUGGGCCCGCGUCAGAUUAGCCAGUUGGCAGGGUAACGGCCUACCAAAGCGACGAUCUGUAGCCGGACUGAGAGGUCGGACGGCCACAUUGGGACUGAGACACGGCCCAAACUCCUACGGGAGGCAGCAGUGGGGGAUAUUGCACAAUGGAGGAAACUCUGAUGCAGCGACGCCGCGUGAGUGAAGAAGUAUUUCGGUAUGUAAAGCUCUAUCAGCAGGGAAGAUAAUGACGGUACCUGACUAAGAAGCACCGGCUAAAUACGUGCCAGCAGCCGCGGU